AUGUGUUAUGAAGGGUUAUGAAUGUGUUAUGAAGGGUUAUGAAUGUGGUAUGAAGGGUUAUGAAUGUGGUAUGAAUGGUUAUGAAUGUGGUAUGUGGUAUGAAUGUGGUAUGAAGGGUUAUGAAUGUGUUAUGAAGGGUUAUGAAUGUGUUAUGAAGGGUUAUGAAUGUGUUAUGAAGGGUUAUGAAUGUGGUAUGAAGGGUUAUGAAUGUGGUAUGAAUGGUUAUGAAUGUGGUAUGAAGGGUUAUGAAGGGUUAUAAAUGUGUUAUGAAGGGUUAUGAAUGUGGUAUGUGUUAUGAAGGGUUAUGAAUGUGGUAUGAAGGGUUAUGAAUGUG